ACGGAAGGCAGCAGUGGGGAAUAUUGUACAAUGGGGGAAACCCUGAUGCAGCGAUGCCGCGUGGAGGAAGAAGGUUUUCGGAUUGUAAACUCCUGUCUUCAAGGACGAUAAUGACAGUACUUUAGGCGGAAGCUCCGGCUAACUACGUGCCAGCAGCCGCGGUAAUACGUAGGGAGCGAGCGUUGUCCGGAAUUACUGGGUGUAAAGGGAGCGUAGGCGGGAUUGCAAGUCAGAUGUGAAAACUAUGGGCUCAACCCAUAGACUGCAUUUGAAACUGUAGUUCUUGAGUGAAGUAGAGGUAAGCGGAAUUCCUGGUGUAGCGGUGAAAUGCGUAGAUAUCAGGAGGAACACCGGUGGCGAAGGCGGCUUACUGGGCUUUUACUGACGCUGAGGCUCGAAAGCGUGGGGAGCAAACAGGAUUAGAUACCCUGGUA
rnacentral:rRNA from 1 species